CUUCAUGCACAUGUGGGAGAAAGUAGUCCACACAUGAAACAGAUUGGGACUAGUUCGUGAAUGGGAUGACUCGACCUGCACACACAUUAGACUAAAUUAAUAUAGAAAAUUAAAUCAAACUUGAAUUACCUCUAAUAAUUUAUUAAAAUGCAAUGACGAGGGGAAACACAUUUUCUUCUGUUAAUAUUUAAAAUAUGUGCAUAACAAU
rnacentral:lncRNA from 1 species